UUCUGAUUUCAGGAGAUUGGUUUUGAUUCACCGAAGAGUCUUGCGGUGUGUUAUGAAAUGGAAGCAGAAGAUAGGGAUAGAAGGCAGUCCUAAAUCACCUAAUAGUAACCUGUUUGCUCAGGCCCUUAGCCAGAUUAUAUCUACAGAGCAAAAAUUGUUUUUCCCUGAAGUUUUUUCGUAUUUUCAGGAUCAAAAGGACAGAGUGGUUACGAACUAAACAUAUUCACUGAAAAGGACUUUCUCGCUUCGUCUACGUUUUGGAUGAGGUCCUUUCGUCGACAGGAAUUCCAUUUAACUAUAUAGCGGUCUAACAUACGAAUGUACUAUUUGGCUUGCCACCUUCAGCGUGUUUGUUGUUAAUUGUAAGGUGUUAAUAAUUAUAUUAAUCUGUAUGUUAA